UCACGCCCAAGCAAGCAAGGCAAGAAAGGGAAACAAGGAAAAAAAAAACAAAAACAAAACCAAAAACCAGAAAAAAACCCAAUUUUCUCUCGCUUUCCAUUUCUUUGUUGAUCCAUUGUUGAGAAAACAAAGAUAAAAAAAAGAUACAACAUCUUGCCAAUUACAGUAAUAAUAACACACAACCCAGAAAUUUUGACCUUUUUUCCCCUUAGGGUUUGAUAAAAGGAGGGAUUAUUAUUAUUAUUAUUAUUAUUAUUAUUAUUAUUAUUAUGUGGUUGUGAGAAUCAAUGCGGUCUUUGAGAAAAAGACCAGAAUUGAAAAAAACCAAGAAGGUAAAAUCUGUGAAUGAAUCAAAGCAAUUGAAAGAACCCAGAUCUGAUGGUGGGUUUGUCUUUGGUUUCG
rnacentral:lncRNA from 1 species